CUCGCAGCCUUGGCUAACCCCAGUCUACGCUGGUCUUCUCCGGAGGGAUCUCCUGUGUGUGAAGGGGAGAGAGGAUGAGUAAAGUCCCGAUCAGGCCAUUGGACGGCACAGUCUCACGUGUCUGAAACGGAACACGCUGUGACGUCAGAGUACGCUGCGUUUAAAGCAGCCGCAUCGGUACCACGGCCGAACCCGCUGAUCUCAAAAAGGGGAGCGGAUACUUUCUCACCUGAGGGCUGGAGGACCCGUGAAAGCACCAGACACACUCUGACAAAGUGCUCAGGCCUGCAGGUCAGUGAUCGGUGUGUGAGCUCUCACCGCCUCAGAACACACUUGUGAUAUAAAUCACACGGGCUCUAGAGGGUUCAGGUAGCCGCACCGAAGAGAGCCUCUGCUCUCAGAGGAGCUGAAGCUGCGGCUUUAGAAGAGACGGCUGUCAUGAGCAAGACUUAGGACACCUCGUGUGGAUGGAAGAAGAACGAAUGUCAAAUGAAAGUGCAAGAAGAGCUUGUUUACUUUUAGUGCACAGCCUGAAUAUGACAUGUAUAUACAGUAUGUAUCAGACAUGGUUACAUUCUCCUACUUCUUGCCCCGCGCCUCUAGUUUAUCACACUACAUCAAAACAUUGGCAUAUUCCCUUGUGUGGCUUGUCUUUUUAUCUGCUCCACAGCUUCCCACGGCGGGCCGCAUCCACCUAUAAUCUACUGCCGUUUCAUGUCUGUAGCACCGAGGAAGAUAAGGGACUUGUUCAAAUGAAGAUCAAUGAGCUUUAUACACAGCAUCCCUGCAUCACAAGCGCCUGACUCCUUUUUCUUUUGUCUCCCUCUCAAGGUGCCAUCUGAUCUAAUAUUAAAGAACAUAAUAUAAGAAAUAUGGAGAAGCCAAACGGGGUUCCUGAAAGUUUGAAUAAUUACCGACAGUGCUGUUACUGAGCCACCUCUCGGAGGAGAGACAAUGAAAACAGUAAACAUGUUGCAUUAUAGAUUUGUCAAAAACACAUUUGGCAGUUUGUCACUAGUACCUUGUUAUUUAAGUCAGUGCCAAGUGUCUGCGGCAGUGAAAUCAAAGCAGACUGAUGUAUUGGCAGCAAUAGAUGGAGCGUGAAACUGUGUCAGAGAAGUAAGGGAAAUCCCCUGCGACUGUUUUCCUUUCACUCCACAUCUGGCUGACGAAAUCUGUAAGGACUAAUUGUGUCUGAGUUGGAGGCUGAAGAAACUCUUAUUUAGUACAUUUUUACUUUAGUUUCCAUCAAUGUGCGUUCCCACCCGAGUGGCACGAGCUCACACAAGACCAAAGAAAUCAUCGACUGAGCCUAAAGUCAGCCCAGACUACCUCUGGCUGUUCAGGAACAAAUACAGAAAAGCUGAAUCAAAAAUAGUUUUGCUAAAAAAACACAGAGAAAGGGGAUAGAAUGACACCAAGAUAAAUACAUUAAAGUGCAAAGGGAGGAAAACUUUGCAUUUUGAGCGACUGAUCAAAGUUGUUCCCACAGGAAAUCUCCUUUAAUGAGAUCUAUACAAGAAAAGAAGGGAGGAAGACAAGAAAAGGAGGUACCAUUCCUACACAGAGGAGAGGGAUGAAUCAUCUAGGAUGCCUGGUGUGUAUUGGGUGAGGAGGUGGCGGUGGGGUGCUUUUCAAGAUCGUUUUAACGUCUUCACUGUGGGAGCGUCAGAGGCAAGGCCAGGUUAAUUAAACCCACGGGAGGAGCAGCUGAGGAGGGUGGGGAGCACAUUUGAAUAUGUCACAGAAAUAGCACGAGUGUGUCAGCCAAGGCCGGAUGGCGGAGCACGGCGAGCAAAUAUGUUGACUAUGCAUUAAAGGGAGGAGAGAGAAAAACAGACUGUCAGAAGGAAAAAGGUGGGAGUUGUGGGGAGGUAGGUACUGAUAAUCUGCUCUUCGCGUGCCACCGGAUUCCUCUGCGUUAUUAAUGUUUGUCAUUAGCAGCUUUGCGCUGGAGGACAGUGACUAGAGAGAAAGAAAAAAGUGCUGAAGAAAUUUAUUUGGGACAAAUAUUGACAAUAGCUGGCUCCUGGGUACGAGAGAAGAAAAGAUGCAAACUAUGUUAAUGAAUGGUAAUUAACCACUGGGGUUCGGCUCUUCUGAAUCACAGCUAAAUUGGUCCCUGAGUUGCAGCUAGAGACAGUCCUGGCCUAAUCCUUUAUUAUAAAAAGAUAAAGGAAAACGACAUAAUUAGCAUAUAUUUGUGAAGGGAAGGGGGGGGGGGGGGGAUUAGAAAGUGGAAUUAUUUCUUUUUAAUUCCUGAACGGAGGAUUUCUCACACAUUUUUAAAAUUAAACAUGGUAAUAAAAGAAAGUGUUAAAGGAGAAAACAAAGCUGAGAAAAGUAAAGAGGUGAGCUGAAAGGAGGAGAGCUGGGGCUCCUGUGUGGGAAGCCAACUCAAGGACGGAGGAUACCAGGAUCAUGAUUACAUAUUCAAAAUGAAUAAUAAGAGAGGUAGGAAGAAAGGAACAGAUAAAAGGAACGGGAAGCAGCUCUCCUCUAAUAACACCCUGCUCCGCAUGCGUGUGUUCAUCCUGACUGUUAUUAAUGACGUCAGCA